rnacentral:rRNA from 1 species
CUACGGGUGGCUGCAGUGGGGAAUAUUGCACAAUGGGCGCAAGCCUGAUGCAGCCAUGCCGCGUGUAUGAAGAAGGCCUUCGGGUUGUAAAGUACUUUCAGCGGGGAGGAAGGGAGUAAAGUUAAUACCUUUGCUCAUUGACGUUACCCGCAGAAGAAGCACCGGCUAACUCCGUGCCAGCAGCCGCGGUAAUACGGAGGGUGCAAGCGGUAAUCGGAAUUAUGGGCGUAAAGCGCACGCAGGCGGUUUGUUAAGUCAGAUGUGAAAUCCCCGGGCUCAACCUGGGAACUGCAUCUGAUACUGGCAAGCUUGAGUCUCGUAGAGGGGGGUAGAAUUCCAGGUGUAGCGGUGAAAUGCGUAGAGAUCUGGAGGAAUACCGGUGGCGAAGGCGGCCCCCUGGACGAAGACUGACGCUCAGGUGCGAAAGCGUGGGGAGCAAACAGGAUUAGAUACCCUUGUAGUC